UCCCAGUUCCGAACCCGUCGG
rnacentral:snRNA from 1 species